CCUGGCGGGACUGUUUAGAUGGAUGAGGCAGAAAGCCCUGCGCUGUGCAGUAGCUAGGUUUCUGUCCUGUGCUACAGGUUCCCAUCUCAGACGACUGGAAGGGCUUCCGGUGAGGACAGGCGAAGCCUGUGCGGCCACAGUGCCCUCAAUGGUUUUUGUGGGUCGUCUGUAAUACAUUCUGAUAGGCUUUCUCUGAGAACAUGAAACGUCUGGUCCCUGUGGAGUUGUGGCUGUGCCCAGAUGUAUGUGGCAUCUUGUGUGUUACCAUGGAAUUCCUGUCACCCGUCAGAUGAUGACUUCAGAACUCUGUCCCCGGGAACCCUCUCUGAGGACUUUCCAAUUCUAAACCAGCUGUGAUCUUAUGGAAAGAGCCCUGGAUGGUUGACAGAGAGCUGACCAGAAGCCUCUAUUCAGCUCUGGAAUUGAUGUGUGAAGCCAAGAUAUUGUCACUAAAGAACAGACAUGUUAGUCAAGUAUAACUAAAGACAUGCUCACUGUUAGUCAACAUGCAUUUCUUACUCCAUACAAAAAGCUAACCAUGAAGAUAAAUCCUAUAAAUGUAAGACACAUGGGCAGACUUUCAAUCAGAACUUAGAACUAAUAUAACACCAGAGAAUUCAUACUAGUGGAAAAUCCUAUGAAUAUGAGGAGUGUGGGAAAGCCUUUAGUCAACAUCAGUGUGCUUAUACUAGUGAAAAACCUGAUAAAUGUAGAGUGUGGCAAGACAUUUAGUUGUAGUUUAUGUUUUCCCCAACAUCAAAGGAUUCACACUGGCAAGAAACUCUAUAAAUAUAAAGAAUGUGGAAAAA